rnacentral:lncRNA from 1 species
CUCAGAAGAAUGGGGAAAUCUACCCUCUUUUUUAAAAAAUAAUUUUUAGUUGUUGAUAGAUCUUUCUUUUAUUUAUUUAUAUGUGGUGCUGAGAAUCGAACCCUGUGCCUCACACAUACCAGGCAAGUGCAGUACCACUGAACUACAACCCCAGCCUGAAAUCUACCCUCUUAAUGCCAAAUGCAAAGAGAAGAAAAUUAUGCUAAGGGAUAGACUUGUAACUAGGUAAAUUAUCUACUGCGAUGUGAUCACUUCAAGAUUUAUAUAAAAGAAGAACAGAGGACAAGAAUUAACUUUUUUGUUGUUGUUAUAAAAGUAAUAAAUGACCAUUAUAUAAAACCUGGAAAAAUCAGAAGCAGAAAGGAGAAAACAAUCAUUAGGCAGAAAGCAGUGAACAAUGGUGUGAUCUUUCUACCUCUUUCUUUGAAUACUGCACAGUUGUAAUCACAUUUCACAAAUAAAUUUCAGCAUCCCCCUCCUCAAUGUUAUUAUGUAACUUUUUCUGUAGUACUGAGGAUUGAGUAUAGGGGCAUUCUACCACUGAGCUACAUACCUAGCCCUUUAUUAUUAUUAUUAUUUUAAAUUUUGAGGCAUUAUUUUGCUAUUUUGCUUCCUAAGUAGCCUCAGUUGGCCUUGAACUUGUGAUCCUCCUUCCUCAGCUUCCUGAGUCACUGGUAUUACAGGUAAGUGCUGCCAUAACUAGCUCAUCAGACUUUCUUUAUGUCAUCAUAUGAUAAAUAUAAUGAAUCAAUUAUCGUUUAUAAGGUUUCUACACUAACCCACAGAAACCCUUACAAAUGCAACGGGCAGAAGGACAGCUACUGGGAGAGAUGGCAUGAAAGACCCAUGGAAAGAGAGGGUUAUUAAGAAUCUUCUGGAGGGAAAUAGAGUGAGGAACCCAAAGGAGAAGUAGGGAAGAGGGAGGAAAAAGGGAAACAGAGACAGUAGUAGGGCAGGGGAUGGAAGGAAAGCAACAUGUGAGGGUCAAGAGAGUAGUAAGGGAAAGGGUAGGGUGAGGACUGUGGCCAGGCUGUUAAGGAACCAGGUCAGUAAUGGCAAAGAUGUGAAGGAAGCAAACAGUAUGCAAAUUGGAAAAAGCCAAUGGAAAAAUUAGUUGAUUAGAAGUUUACUACUGGGCAGCCAAUCUCAGCAGAGAAGUGUAAACUAAAGUUGAAUACAAUUAAAGGGGGUGAGAACAGAAUGUAAACCCCUCACAUGGAGAGAGGCUGCUUCUUCAAGUAGUUUAGCAAGGUGAGUCUGGAGGCACAGUUAACUGUGUAACCUGAGUCUGAUUUCAACAUAUGCACUAUGGAGCUAUCAUUAAAAUAACAGCGAAGACUACUGAGUUACUUUUCCAUGCCAGGCACAUUGCUUAGGCAUGUUGCUGCUAUAGCUCAAUAAAGCAUCAUGGCUACCCUACAAAGUAGGUGCUAUUAUUAUUAUUAAAAGCUUAAAAUUGAAGAAACUGAGGUUGAAAUAUUAGUUUACUAAGAUGAUAAGCCCAGGAAUAGAGAAGCUGGGUUUGAGCUAACACCUGGAAAGCGUAUUCUUAGGUCACAAAAAAACUGACUUGUUUUUUGGUACAGCAAAGAGCCCCAAAGGGACAAUUUAAAGGGAAAUGCUCAUUUUUUUGGAGGAAAAUACUAAUUCUUUUUCUCUUUUUCAGUCCUGGAGAUGGAAUGCAGAUAAUCAUGCAGUCAUGCUUGAAAGUGCUCUACCACUGAAUUACACGCUAGUUCUUUUUUAUUUUGAGACAAGGUCUCACAAAGUUGCCCAGGGUAGCCUUGGACUUGUGA